rnacentral:tRNA from 4 species
GAGAGAGGCCAAAAGCAGUAAGGACUGCUAAUCCAUACCCCCAUGGUUAAACUCCAUGGCUCACUCGA